rnacentral:lncRNA from 1 species
GGGGUGAGAUUUGAAGGGAAAAAACAUAUAUCUAAGUAGGAAGUAUACAUACAACCACAGUAAACUUCAGAGUCAGUCCCAAAUUUAGUAAAAAAUAGAAAGAAUCUCUGGUUGAGGCACCCUUAACACCAGUCUGUACUAAACUCCUCGACACCAGCUGGGCGAAGAAGUCAUUGAUAGUGAUAACAGCGGCACUGAUGAAGUAGGGAUCCACAUUUCCCAUGAACAGCAUCUUUGUAUACCUGUUGAGAGAGUCGCACCAAAUCAAUAGCGGUCUUCAUCUACUAUGGAGGAAAGCAGCUGCAGCAAUUGCACCAACUUGGAUAGGGCCGAAAAUUCAUGACUUAAGAUCAAGAUCGGUAAAGAAAAAUUAAUCUCUAUAGCCAACCUUAAAAAAACAUCUUGCAAGCUGUCGAGCAAGUUAGCUUUCCUGCGGCUAGUCCAAAAUUAGAGGUAAGGUCACUAUAAUGCUAUAUAAAGUUACAGACUGAGUAGCUAAAUUGAUAUUCCGAAGAAGACAGAGGAAUGGACCAUACUGUUGCACAUCUUCCUGAGUUUUUUUGGUGGUUUUCUUAAUUUAGAGGAAUAUAUUAAAUGUCAAUCAACUGAGGAUAUUCCUUAUCGAUUAGAUCUUCAUACGCAAUGUAGCAACAAAAAUAAUGUGCUGAUUACAAAUACUAAAGAAUGCCUAGCAGACCGUUUAUUAAACAAAUAGCAUGAGCAACAAUGGUUGCUGCUUCAAUUCCUUACUGCAUGAUGUUUGCUCUCCACUAUAUACUCACAAUACAUUGAUUUCAGUGUAAUGCAUAUGCAUAGAAAAUGGUUUGUUAUUAGUAAAACUUGGAAGCAUGAGGAGCAGCAACUAAUACAUCAUUUUUUUUAUAUAGAUGACCUUUGGGCUGAAACUUAAAAACAGUACAUCAUUGAGGAGCAGCAAAUUGAUCCAACAUUGUUUGCCCCAUGCUCUUGUUACUUGUUAGACAAUAUGCAAGUUAAGCCAUGGAGUAGUUUAAGUUCCAACAGUCGUCAAAUCAAAAUGGUCGACCAUGAAUGCUGUAUAGAUUAUAUAUCUAUUUUGGCCAGCAAUUGGCAUAUAUUUUGGACAACUAAAGCCUGAAGGAGCUAAUUCAUGCUAUGACUGACGGUGAAAUGCUAGCAACUGCAAGCAAAGUAUUUUGGAAGUCACUUGCUUUCGUGAAAGGCUAAUCAUACCUCUGCAACUUAUCCUAAAGUAGGAUGCACAACGCACCUGAGUAGCAAUAGCACAGGACACUCCUUGGAAAUCUUGAACAUGGAAUUCUAGUUCACCUCAACCUAGGCCUAAAUGUUAUCAUAGCAAUCUCAUUAACUGGAUAUGCAAAAUAAUAGUUAUGCAGAUCGAUCAUCAGAGGUUGAAAAUAUUCUGACUCGCAUGAUCUAAAAAAAAUAGGAAACAAUAUUAACCUUAAAGCAACAUGUCCUUGCUAAGACAAGAUAGCUUCAACCACAGGACCUUAAGCAGCAGCAGAAGCUAUACGCUCAAAGGCACUGGGAGGCGCAGAUGACACUCAACUGCUGCAUUUAUGGAAGAGACCAUGGUAGCAACCAGCUUAGAGGAGCAUCUAUGGGAGAAGAAAUAAAGCUGAUGCCCACCUCGAGAAAAGCACAUCACCAGUGCACAGAUCUAGAGUUGGGAACCACAUCAUGGUGCGACUGAUGACGAAUCUUCGAGGAGCCAAGGAGUCAAGGGGAUGAAAGCGUACAGAUAGGAGAGGGAAAGAGACCAGAUCUUACCGCCCCCAUGUCGUACUUCCAAGGUCUGGUGGGAUCCUCAUGUGCUGCCAGGAUCUGGGCGAGUUCCUUCUCCAUUGCCACAGGGAAGAAGGCCUAGGAGAAAGGCUCGCAGAGAGGGAGGGACGAAGCUGCCUUUCAUGUGUGGCUAGGGACCACGGUCGUGGAGGAGCGACGACGGCGAUCCGGGAGGUGCGUGCAGAUGCAAGGGGCAUCGGCGGCCUGGGAAGAGAGAAUGGAGAGGGGAAGAGCUCGGCACUCUG